rnacentral:rRNA from 1 species
UACGUAGGGUGCAAGCGUUGUCCGGAAUUAUUGGGCGUAAAGGGUGUGUAGGCGGUUGUUUAAGUUUGGUGUGAAAUCUCCCGGCUCAACUGGGAGGGUGCGCCGAAUACUGAAUGACUAGAGUGCGGGAGAGGAAAGUGGAAUUCCUGGUGUAGCGGUGAAAUGCGUAGAUAUCAGGAGGAACACCGGUGGUGUAGACGGCUUUCUGGACCGUAACUGACGCUGAGACACGAAAGCGUGGGUAGCGAACAGG